UACGUAGGGUCCAAGCGUUAUCCGGAAUCACUGGGCGUAAAGCGUGCGUAGGCGGGAGCUUAAGUGCAAUGCGAAAUCUUGUGGCUCAACCAUAUAGACUGUAUUGCAUACUGGGCACCUGGAGGAUGGCAGAGGCUAGUGGAAUUACUGGUGUAGCAGUGAAAUGCGUAGAUAUCAGUAGGAACACCAAUGGCGAAGGCAGCUAGCUGGGCCAUUUCUGACGCUAAGGCACGAAAGCGUGGGGAGCGAACAGG
rnacentral:rRNA from 1 species